CUUCUUCAGCUGAGGCUACUUGGGCAGGAUAAAUGGAGAGGAACACUUUGCCAGCCUCAUUGCUGAUCCUGUGGCUUCAUCUUGGCAGAGUGAGCUGCGUCUUGACUGUGGAACAGAGUCCUCCAUCUCUGCAGGUUCAGGAAGGAGAGAGCACCAAUUUCACCUGCAGUUUCCCUUCCAGCUCUUUUUAUGCUUUACACUGGUACAGAUGGGAACCUGCAAAAAGCCCCGAGAACCUGUUUGUAAUGACUUCAAAUGGGGAUGAAAAGGAGGAAGGACGAGUAAGAGUCACUCUGAAUACUAAGGAGGGUUAUAGCUACAUGUUCAUCAAAGGAUCCCAGCCUGAGGACUCAGCCACAUACCUCUGUGCCUCCACACAGUGCUCAUCAGGCCCCUGCAGCCUGUACCCAAACCCGUGCCUGCUGCUGCUCUGGUACCAGCAUUGA